UACGGAGGGUGCAAGCGUUAUCCGGAUUUAUUGGGUUUAAAGGGUCCGCAGGCGGAUCGUUAAGUCAGUGGUGAAAGCCCACAGCUCAACUGUGGAAUUGCCAUUGAUACUGGCGGUCUUGAGUAUGUAUGAAGUUGGCGGUAUGUGUGGUGUAGCGGUGAAAUGCUUAGAUAUCACACAGAACACCGAUUGCGAAGGCAGCUGGCUAAUACAUAACUGACGCUGAGGGACGAAAGUGUGGGGAUCAAACAGG
rnacentral:rRNA from 1 species